rnacentral:rRNA from 1 species
AAGCUUGCUUGUUGGGGUUGUAGGACACUCUAUACGGAGUUACAAAGGACGACAUUAGACGAAUCAUCUGGAAAGAUGAAUCAAAGAAGGUAAUAAUCCUGUAGUCGAAAAUGUUGUCUCUCUUGAGUGGAUCCUGAGUACGACGGAGCACGUGAAAUUCCGUCGGAAUCUGGGAGGACCAUCUCCUAAGGCUAAAUACUCUCUAGUGACCGAUAGUGAACCAGUACCGUGAGGGAAAGGUGAAAAGCACCCCGGAAGGGGAGUGAAAUAGAACCUGAAACCGUGUGCUUACAAGUAGUCAGAGCCCGUUAAUGGGUGAUGGCGUGCCUUUUGUAGAAUGAACCGGCGAGUUACGAUUUGAUGCAAGGUUAAGCAGUAAAUGUGGAGCCGUAGCGAAAGCGAGUCUGAAUAGGGCGUUUAGUAUUUGGUCGUAGACCCGAAACCAGGUGAUCUACCCUUGGUCAGGUUGAAGUUCAGGUAACACUGAAUGGAGGACCGAACCGACUUACGUUGAAAAGUGAGCGGAUGAACUGAGGGUAGCGGAGAAAUUCCAAUCGAACCUGGAGAUAGCUGGUUCUCUCCGAAAUAGCUUUAGGGCUAGCCUCAAGUGAUGAUUAUUGGAGGUAGAGCACUGUUUGGACGAGGGGCCCCUCUCGGGUUACCGAAUUCAGACAAACUCCGAAUGCCAAUUAAUUUAACUUGGGAGUCAGAACAUGGGUGAUAAGGUCCGUGUUCGAAAGGGAAACAGCCCAGACCACCAGCUAAGGUCCCAAAAUAUAUGUUAAGUGGAAAAGGAUGUGGCGUUGCCCAGACAACUAGGAUGUUGGCUUAGAAGCAGCCAUCAUUUAAAGAGUGCGUAAUAGCUCACUAGUCGAGUGACACUGCGCCGAAAAUGUACCGGGGCUAAACAUAUUACCGAAGCUGUGGAUUGUCCUUUGGACAAUGGUAGGAGAGCGUUCUAAGGGCGUUGAAGCAUGAUCGUAAGGACAUGUGGAGCGCUUAGAAGUGAGAAUGCCGGUGUGAGUAGCGAAAGACGGGUGAGAAUCCCGUCCACCGAUUGACUAAGGUUUCCAGAGGAAGGCUCGUCCGCUCUGGGUUAGUCGGGUCCUAAGCUGAGGCCGACAGGCGUAGGCGAUGGAUAACAGGUUGAUAUUCCUGUACCACCUAUAAUCGUUUUAAUCGAUGGGGGGACGCAGUAGGAUAGGCGAAGCGUGCGAUUGGAUUGCACGUCUAAGCAGUAAGGCUGAGUAUUAGGCAAAUCCGGUACUCGUUAAGGCUGAGCUGUGAUGGGGAGAAGACAUUGAGUCUUCGAGUCGUUGAUUUCACACUGCCGAGAAAAGCCUCUAGAUAGAAAAUAGGUGCCCGUACCGCAAACCGACACAGGUAGUCAAGAUGAGAAUUCUAAGGUGAGCGAGCGAACUCUCGUUAAGG